rnacentral:rRNA from 1 species
UACGAAGGGGGCUAGCGUUGCUCGGAAUCACUGGGCGUAAAGGGUGCGUAGGCGGGUCUUUUAGGCCGGGGUGAAAUCCUGGAGCUCAACUCCAGAACUGCCUUUGAUACUGAGGAUCUUGAGUCCGGGAGAGGUGAGUGGAACUGCGAGUGUAGAGGUGAAAUUCGUAGAUAUUCGCAAGAACACCAGUGGCGAAGGCGGCUCACUGGCCCGGUACUGACGCUGAGGCACGAAAGCGUGGGGAGCAAACAGG